rnacentral:rRNA from 1 species
CAGUAGCCGCGGUAAUACAGAGGGUGCGAGCGUUAAUCGGAUUUACUGGGCGUAAAGCGUGCGUAGGCGGCUAAUUGAGUCGGAUGUGAAAUCCCCGAGCUUAACUUGGGAAUUGCAUUCGAUACUGGUUAGCUAGAGUGUGUGAGAGGAUGGUAGAAUUCCAGGUGUAGCGGUGAAAUGCGUAGAGAUCUGGAGGAAUACCGAUGGCGAAGGCAGCCAUCUGGCCUAACACUGACGCUGAGGUACGAAAGCAUGGGGAGCAAACAGGAUUAGAUACCCCCGUAGUCCCUGUCUCUUAUAC